AACGAACGCUGGCGGCAGGCUUAACACAUGCAAGUCGAACGGGUGUAGCAAUACAUCAGUGGCAGACGGGUGAGUAACACGUGGGAACCUUCCUAGAGGUACGGAACAACGCAGGGAAACUUGCGCUAAUACCGUAUACGCUCGUGAGAGGAAAGAUUUAUCGCCUUUAGACGGGCCCGCGUCGGAUUAGGUAGUUGGUGGGGUAACGGCCUACCAAGCCUACGAUCCGUAGCUGAUCUGAGAGGAUGAUCAGCCACACUGGGACUGAGACACGGCCCAGACUCCUACGGGAGGCAGCAGUGGGGAAUCUUGGACAAUGGGCGCAAGCCUGAUCCAGCCAUGCCGCGUGAGUGAAGAAGGCCUUAGGGUUGUAAAGCUCUUUUACCAGGGACGAUAAUGACGGUACCUGGAGAAUAAGCCCCGGCAAACUUCGUG
rnacentral:rRNA from 1 species